UACAGAGGGUGCAAGCGUUAAUCGGAUUUACUGGGCGUAAAGCGUGCGUAGGCGGUUCAUUAAGUCGGUUGUGAAAUCCCUGGGCUUAACCUGGGAACUGCAGUCGAUACUGGUGGACUAGAAUGCGGUAGAGGGUGGCGGAACUCCGGGUGUAGCGGUGAAAUGCGUAGAUAUCCGGAAGAACACCGAUGGCGAAGGCAACCACCUGGGCCUGCAUUGACGCUGAGGUACGAAAGCGUGGGAGCAAACAGG
rnacentral:rRNA from 1 species